GGUAUGCUCUUGCUUACUAGUUACUCUUUGAGCGCUGUGCGUGCUUCCUGGUCACGUGACUGCCGCGGUCCAAUUAGCUGGGCUUAUAAGCCGGUAGCAGGAAGUUGCCAGCUGACAGAUCGAUUGUUUGCUCGAGAGCCGACUACCAGCGCCGGAGUUUUUUUCUCUCUCAUUAAGCUGUUGGCCAGGCUUUUCUUGUUUUGAUGGCGAGCUAAAGAAAGGAGCAUCUAGUCCAAGGAGUGUUCUUGGAAGAUUCCAGCCAGAAACCCCACCACCUGUUCGGUUUGGGCGGGUCUGACGUCCCUUAGCUGGCGUGAACAUCCCCAGCGUUGAUCAAAAGUACAUUUUCUACAAGAACACUCCGGCUGACGCAGACAAGAGACAACGAUGAGUGGACCGACCUUCCACACCAGAUGCACGUGAACGACGCACAAGACAAUCCACGGGUCUACUUCAAGCUCGGAUUGGAUAUGUUGCCUUUGUACAAUUUGAAAUAAUUGGGAGUUACGUCUUUUGAGGUUCAUCAGUCAUGCGAGUCAAGGGAGAGGCAGGUACGGUUUUAAUGAAUAGUCCGAGCAGGAAACCACAUUUUAUUAUUGUGACAAUUAUCAAGAAUGUCCAAAAGCAGACUGCAUGAAAAGUAACUAUAUAUGUAUAUAUACAUUAUAUUUAUAUAUGUGUACAUAUUAUUAUAAUAAUAUAUUGGAUAUAUAAUAAAUAAUUAUUAUAAUUGGUUAUUAAGAGUAUGUGAAAAUUUGAUUCCUACCUUGUUUGCUUUCGUGAUGACCUCCUUAAAAGUUUUUUAAUCAAUCAGAAAUAUCAAGCAGCUAAAAUAUGACAAACAUGGGUAAGUGUGGAGAGAGUGUUUUGCAUUUUUCCCAUCAUCCCUUGUCAUGGAUUUAUAUGGGUAUAAAUUAGAUUGUAUUAUGCUAAUUGGAAUUUUUUUUUAUUAUAUCCACAUAUUUCAAUGACCAGGUUGUGGUAUGUGUGGCCAUGUUUGUUAAUGUUUUGCGCUGCUUGAAUAUUUUUUUUCUUCUGCACCAUGACUAGGGAAUGUUGUUUGGAUUGGGUCAUACAAGUAAAUGCUGUGAACAAUACACCAUCAUCAGUCACUGACUUGAGUUACUUUUGUUAACCACCAGAUGGUGUCAGGAUGGCAGCUAUCAGACCGCUGGCUGUUUGUUUAUGAUAUGAGGCCCCCGGUAACCAGCGUGCCGUAGUUUGGACACCCCCACAAUAACACCAUGAUGUAACCAAAUAAACUAUGUAGAUUUAGCGGGGGGGUUAAUCCUUUUGCAAGUCAGUCUGCUGAAAAUGAUGGAAAGCGCCACUCUACAUAGCAACUGACGCUGUGGUCAAAGUUGGAAUUGCCACAAAACACGUUUUAAGAUAUUCAACACUCUACUGCCGUCUGGCAGCUUAUGUGCAUACUGCACCCUCUAAAUUCGUCACGUUUCAUGUGUCAGGUAAACCACAACAGAUCCCUUUCCACUGCCUGGUACCUACUUUGCCCCACAAGGCUAUACUUGCUAUUGACACAUUUCCACAGGCAGGGGAUUAAUAUGGGUGGAUCUCACGUGAGAGGAAAAGGGGGAAUACUAAUUUUGCAAUGCAGUCUGCUGAAAAUUACAGAAAGCGUGACUCUACAUAGCAAAUGACGAUGUAGUCAAAGUUGAAAUUGCCACAAAACAUAUUUGAAGAUAUUUAACACUCUACUGCCAUCUGGCGGCUAAAAUGGAUACGGCAAGCCCUCAAUUUGUCACGUUUCACGUGUCAGGUAAACUGCGACAAAUUGACCCAUUCCGACUGUGAUUCACAAUAACUUUGAAUGAUUACCAUGGUUAUUGCAAAUAUGGGACACCGUAUGUAUAAUUGAUCUAUGAUAGUAGCGCUCUUUUAAAAAUAACAUUAAUUACAGACAAUUUUUAAACACAGUCUUUAAAUAAUAACGCACAAAUAUACGGCAUAUUAAAAUAAGCAGCCCAAAAGUAUACAUUUGUGGGUUUUAUGAAUGGCAUACAUGUACUGUAUAUCCUGAGCUUUUGAAUGGAUUCAGCUUACGCGUAAAUUCAUAAAGUAAAAAACACCGAACAGAAUAAUAAAUACAAAUUGUAAACACAAUCUAAAAAUGACACAGAUGAUCAAUCCGACGCUUCGGUUUCAGUGCUGCAAGAGCACAUGAAUAAAUGGUCAUACAUAUUAAUCACUUUCACUUAGCUUUUAGUCGUGACUGGUCAGAACUAUUCAAAAAUGUACAUAACAUCGUUCCCUAAAUUGAAGCCAUUACUUUUAGAGCUGGAGGUUUUGACCGAUUUGUCAUUUUAAGCAUUUUUUUCCCCCCUUCUUAAAUUCUCGCACCAUGCAAUGAUUUACAUAUAAUACAAGAGCAUUAAUAAUGAUUUGAUCACGUGUGCAUUAGUGUGAAAGCACGGACUGACAAAGUGUAGUUAUUAAAAGUAAAAAUAUGAUUUGAAUAAUAUUUCACAAUAUGACCGUGUGUGUCUAAUGAAACAUCUUUGUUUAAAAAGUGACACUGUACAAUAGUUUCCAUGGCAAAACCACAGUGAGACCCAUAGCACCCCCUGCUGAGAGCCCUCACAUAUGUUACAGUUCUCAAGACCAAUAAAAAUACAUAAAUCACAUUGGAACCUAAUUGACAUAAGAAAAUAAAAACAUCCAAUUUAAGGUUUUGUACAAAAAAAAAAAUGGUGACCCUUUACAAGUCUUGAAAAAAUCUACAGGAAAUGAAUCAUUUUUUUUCUUUUUACAGGUUUUGCACAGUUUAUUUUUCCACUACUGGGUGACCGUUAGACGGGUGAUCCUGCCGUACCACGACCAGGGAAGGAUCCGGAUCAGGCGAGCGUAGAUGGGCGGAUCUAUCACGUUCUUUCUGUGCGUGUCGUUGUCAAAGUUGCCCUGAAAGACCUGCAAACACAAGAGAGGUUAACAUCUCUGAACUCGACCGUCGUCCUUGUUGUUUUCAUGUGGAGAUAAAGUAUCGAUGGGCUUUUGUAAAGUUCCAAUAUUUGUUUUAUAAAUAUAGCUAUGGAAGUUUAAAAAAUAAGGUUGCUUGAAUCAAAUGAAGAAUGUCUAAGCCAGUGGUUCUUAACCUUGUUGGAGGUACCGAACCCCACCACUUUCAUACGCGCAUUCACCCAACCCUUCUUCUGUGAAAAAUAAAAUGUAUUUUUUUUCAAAUUCAAGAAAAUAUGUUUUUUUUUACUGGUGCACAAAAUAAACCGUGCAUGGACAUCACCUUGUUCAAAGAACCAAACCAACACAGUGCAUGAACUCCCAACAAAUUACACACAUUACACACAUUACCAUGAAUUGAUUAACGUGGACUAAAACAAGUUGAAAAACUUACUCGGGUGUUACCAUUUAGUGGUCAAUUGUACGGAACAUGUACUGUACUGUUUCAUAUCAUGUAUUCUCUUCCUUUGUAAUCUGCUAGUAAAAGUUUCAAUCAAUCAAUCAAACAACCUGCAAAUCAGAUGGACAAUUAGAGGGAACAUUGUUUGGGGGUAUCCAUAAUACGCUGAUAGGGAGAAGUUUUUAUUUACACGAUAAGUCGGAUGUGUCUUUACCUCCGUGGCGGAGGCUCUGCCGAACCCCUAGGGUUCGAUCGAGCCCAGGUUAAGAACCACUGGUCUAAGCCUAACUAUACCUCCUUUCAAAAUUGUGAAGUGGUUUGUUCCACCUGGUUAGGCAAACACUUCCCUCAACACAGACGUCAUAACGUCGUCAAAGCUCGCAUUGAAUUAUUCACAGACUUUUGCAUCUCAUUGCUCAUAACUGUUGUGCAUUCAAGAACCCUCUAUGAAAGUUAGAAACAGAGACGUCAAUAGGCAUAACUGUAGUGCAUUCAAGAACUCUUGAUAAAUGUUAGAGACAUAGGCGUUACUAGGCAUAAAUGUAGUGCAUUCAAGAACUCUCAAUAAAAGUUAGAAACAGAGACGUCACUAGGCAUAACUGUAGUGCAUUCAAGAACCCUUGAUGAAAGUUAGAAACAGAGGCAUUACUAGGCAUUACUGUAGUGCAUUCAAGAACCCCCCAAAAAAGUUAAGAACGGAGGCAUCGCUAGGCAUAACUGUAGUGCAUUCAAUAACUCUUGAUGAAAGUUAGAAACAGAGGCAUCACGAGGCAUAACUGUAGUGCAUUCAAGAACCCUCGAUGAAAGUUAGAAACAAAGGCGUCACUAGGCAUAACUGUAGUGCAUUCAAUAACUCUUGAUGAAAGUUAGAAACAGAGGCAUCACGAGGCAUAACUGUAGUGCAUUCAAGAACCCUUGAUGAAAGUUAGUUAUAGAGGUGUCACUAGGCAUAACUGUAGUGCAUUCAAGAACCAGGGGCGCCGCUAGGGAUUUUGGGCCCCAUGAAAAUAAUCUUUACAGGGCCCCCAACACAGUGUCAUUAUUUUUUCUGUAUAAUAAUUUCAUCAUCAUUAGGGGCCUCUCUGGGCCCCCUCCAUCAUGGGCCCCUAGAAUCCGUCUCCUUUACCCCCCCUUUUCGGCGCCCCUGUCAAGAACCCUUAAUGAAAGUAAGAAACAAAGGCGUUACUCAGCAUAACUGUAGUGCAUUCAAGAACACCCCAAGAAAGUUAGAAACAGAGACAUCGCUAGGCAUAACUGUAGUGCAUUCAAGAACCCUUGAUGACAAUUAGAAACAAAGGCGUUACUAGGCAUAACUGUAGUGCAUUCAAGAACUCUCGAUAAAAGUUAGAAACAGAGGCGUCACUAGGCAUAACUGUAGUGCAUUCAAGAACCCUCGAUGGAAAUUAAAAACAGACGCCAGUAAGCAUAACUGUUGUGCAUUUAAGAACCUUCUACGAAAGUUAGAAACAGAGACGCCAGUAGGCAUAACUGUAGUGCAUUCAAGAACCCUUGAUGAAAGUUAGAAACAAAGACGUUCACAGGCAUAACUGUAGUGCAGACCUGGGCAUUCGGCGGCCUGCGGGCCACAUCCGGCCCUUUGUGCGUCCCUGUCCGGCCCACGAGAGGCCAAUAAUAAAUUACACAAUACUUUUAAAAAAGUAUCUACAAACCCC